CAAUAACUGAAUAAGUCAUACUCAUGAAGCCCAAGAAAUGGAACUAUGCCUAAUUAUCAGAAUUUGAUUCAACACUCAUGACGGCAGUACUCUGAAGAUAAAACAAUCGACGACACAAGAGGAUUCUUCUUUUUGAGCUAUGUUUUUUUCACAAGGAUUUAGAGUCAUUAUGAAGGCAAUGAAUUUAAGCAUCAACUGUCAUUAUUAACAUACACUUCAUCUCU
rnacentral:lncRNA from 1 species